rnacentral:rRNA from 1 species
AUACAUGCAAGUCGAACGCGUCUCCGUUAAUGAUUUUAGGUGCUUGCACUUGAAAGAUUUAACAUUGAGACGAGUGGCGAACUGGUGAGUAACACGUGGGUAACCUGCCCUUGAAGUAGGGGAUAACACUUGGAAACAGGUGCUAAUACCGUAUAACAACCAAAACCACCUGGUUUUGGUUUAAAAGACGGCUUCGGCUGUCACUUUAGGAUGGACCCGCGGCGUAUUAGCUUGUUGGUAAGGUAACGGCUUACCAAGGCGAUGAUACGUAGCCGACCUGAGAGGGUAAUCGGCCACAUUGGGACUGAGACACGGCCCAAACUCCUACGGGAGGCAGCAGUAGGGAAUCUUCCACAAUGGACGAAAGUCUGAUGGAGCAACGCCGCGUGAGUGAUGAAGGGUUUCGGCUCGUAAAACUCUGUUGUUGGAGAAGAACAGGUGUCAGAGUAACUGUUGACAUCUUGACGGUAUCCAACCAGAAAGCCACGGCUAACUACGUGCCAGCAGCCGCGGUAAUACGUAGGUGGCAAGCGUUGUCCGGAUUUAUUGGGCGUAAAGCGAGCGCAGGCGGUUUUUUAGGUCUGAUGUGAAAGCCUUCGGCUUAACCGGAGAAGUGCAUCGGAAACCGGGAGACUUGAGUGCAGAAGAGGACAGUGGAACUCCAUGUGUAGCGGUGAAAUGCGUAGAUAUAUGGAAGAACACCA